AAAUGCGAAGUAUAAAUUUCAAACUUUCUUCUUCAAACUUCUUUUUUAAAUUUGAAGUUAUUUCAAUAGAUAUUUUUUAAGAAAAAUUUAAAAAAUGUGAUUUAAAUGUCUUACGUAGGCGUGAUUCAUAUACCGCCUUCCACUUGUCUGAUAAAAUUAGUAAAUCACAAAACCUUAUGUCCUUACAAAAUGCUUAAAGAUUCCUAUAAUGUUGCAUACGUAUUUCUGUCAUAAUAAUCAAUAUUUGAUAUUUUUCAGUCAUUGAAAACUUCACGAAAUAAAUACAAAUUCAACCAAGAUUCGUCAUCUUAGCUUUUUGAAGGAUCUUAAAAGAUAUCGAUUUGUAGAAGUGAUUGUUAAAAUCGAUAAGUCGCAGAACUAUUUGGAAGAUUAUAUUGCAUUAUGAUUCAGCUUAUACUAUCCUCGUAGUGUCCGUUACAGUCUCCAUCGUACUUUAAAUUGGCUCCUAUGCAAUUAUUCCUAUUUAUGCAAGAACAAUUUAAGAUCUUCAAGAAACUGAAAGAAUUUCCAAGUGUUACGAUGGCGAACAAUUCAAGUCACUGGACAGAUUUGAGCGAGUAAGUUUCGUUGAAAGAAGACUAUUUUUGAUGAAGUAAUCGCAUAUCUUUCGUGUAUACAUAAAAAGGACUGAAAUAUGUUAAGUCUGCGAAGUUAUCUUAUUUAAAUGUAAAUUUAUUUUUCAAGUAUCUUACAACUGAUUCUUGCAAAUGUAAUUAAAAUGUAUGGCGUGUGUGUAUCUUUCUUUACCCCCAAAAGCAUGAAAUAAGGUUCUAAAAGUAAGAGUAAAACACAAAUGUUAUAUUCCUGAAACUAAAAUACAAUUGAAAAUUCAUAUCGUAAACUAUUAAUUGAAUCUUAAUUUUAUCGAAAUCUCAGUUAAUUGCUUUAUAAAGUAAAAUUUACCUAAUUUUUGUAAGAUAAAAUUCAAUUGAAAUACACUUUCUAAUUUUGUUGAUUUAUUACAAGUAAACAUGCUUAGUCAGAUAAGAGAUGAAAAUAUUUACCCCGUCCUGCCCCAAUUCAGGGCAUAAGGAUAAAUGCUAAUUACAACUAAGUAAAGAACAUAAAGUGCAUAAAAUACAAAAGUCAUAUGACAACAGCUCGUAAACUUUGCGGGCGAUCAAGACUGUUGAACCAAAUUAGCCAUCUACAAUUAGUCAGAAUAUUAUAUCUUUAAGAAAACAUGACAAAUAUAUCAGUCAUGUAUGUCAUGAAAAGUCCAGUUCAGCAGAUCCUAAAGUAUGGAUUAAAAGCACAAGCAAUAUUAGAAGCAAAUUUAAAUAUAAAUUGCCAUUCUAGUUCAACAGACCCUUAUAUUGAGGCAAUCAAAUGGCAUAAAAUUUUUAAAAAAUUGGCUUAGUUAGAAAAGAGAGAUACUAUUUCAGUCAUUGUGUAAUUACAUCUGAGCAUUGGUUACAAAUUGACUUAUUGCGAAGUAAAAAGUAGCACUCUAAACAGGCAAUUAGUUUGGUAAAUACUAAUAUUCUAGUAAGUGCUUGUACAAACUGUAUAAUAAUUAUAAGAAAAAUAUGGU